ACGGGUGAGUAAUGUCUGGGAAACUGCCUGAUGGAGGGGGAUAACUACUGGAAACGGUAGCUAAUACCGCAUAAUGUCGCAAGACCAAAGAGGGGGACCUUCGGGCCUCUUGCCAUCGGAUGUGCCCAGAUGGGAUUAGCUUGUAGGUGAGGUAAAGGCUCACCUAGGCGACGAUCCCUAGCUGGUCUGAGAGGAUGACCAGCCACACUGGAACUGAGACACGGUCCAGACUCCUACGGGAGGCAGCAGUGGGGAAUAUUGCACAAUGGGCGCAAGCCUGAUGCAGCCAUGCCGCGUGUAUGAAGAAGGCCUUCGGGUUGUAAAGUACUUUCAGCGGGGAGGAAGGUGUUGUGGUUAAUAACCACAGCAAUUGACGUUACCCGCAGAAGAAGCACCGGCUAACUCCGUGCCAGCAGCCGCGGUAAUACGGAGGGUGCAAGCGUUAAUCGGAAUUACUGGGCGUAAAGCGCACGCAGGCGGUCUGUUAAGUCAGAUGUGAAAUCCCCGGGCUCAACCUGGGAACUGCAUUUGAAACUGGCAGGCUUGAGUCUCGUAGAGGGAGGUAGAAUUCCAGGUGUAGC
rnacentral:rRNA from 1 species